CCGGGCCUGGCAGAGGGGACGCGGCGCCCAAGCCGCUCCUCCGGAUGGCGACAGAGACGGCCUGACGCGCCCGCAGCCUGGGCCCCCCACGGGGAGGACGGCCGGGCCAGGUGAAGUUCGCGCACUUGGGCCUUCCGCGCCCCCAUCCACCGCAGCCAGGGCCUGGAAGGCUGGGGAGGGGGCGGGGGCGGCAGACGCCUCCUAAGGUGGGUUCUGGGACUUGGAUCCGGAGUUUAUUCCAAGGAGAGGGUGCUCUGGGCCUGUUCCCUAGGUGUGCCCUGUUACCCAAAAUCGGGCUUGUGCAGUGGGGUCCCUGAGUCCACUGGGAGCACAGCCUCAGACCCCAGCAGAGUCACCCUUCAUCGGAAGCCCACCACCCUGAGGGCUCCUCCUCCACCUGGGGCGGCACUGCCAGGCACAGGCACGCACUUUCCCUCAGUCCUCUGCCCCACGAUCACUCUACUCGGGCACCUCUGCCACUGCCUGGUCCUUGCUGAGCCAUCUCCUGGUUCAUCUCCCUGGAGUCCCUGCAGGACCGGCUCUCAGUGGCGUCUCCGGGCUCCCAGUCCCAGGACUGGUCCUAUCCAGCCCAGGAGAUACGCUCCCCAGUCCAGGAUGUCCAGAUGGCCCUGCUGCCUGGAGAGGCUCUGGCCCCUGCCGGUAGCUGCCACAGCACCACCCCAAGCUCUGCCUUCCUGCAGGGAGGUGAUUCUGCAGAAGUUGGGGCUCCUGACAACUUUGGGGUGGCCAUGAGGGACGUACCUCUUGCCUCUGGAUGUGCAGGGUACAACUUGAGCUCUCAUCUACAUAACUGAAGGCUGCACCCAGGGCUGUAAAGAGUGAAAAUGCAUUGCCGAAGCAUGAGCACCUCCUGCAGUUCUCAGUAGACAUUUGGGAAGCGAGUGAACCGCCCUGUAUGGAGUGUUUGGAGGAGGUCGGAGGGUGUCGGGCCUGAGCCAGGGGCUGCCCUGGGCCUGUGUCGGGUGGCGCAUGCCAGAGGAAUGAGAUGGGAAGGGCAUGCACGCGGGGUCUUGGCAGCCCUGGAGCUGGCCUAGAUGCAGCAGCUUUCUGAUAAAGCGAAAUUGUUCCAUCGGCUUGCCAUGCUUUGCUUAGCCAUCCGCACUUCACUGUUGGGCGAAAGAAGAUUUUAAAGAACACCCUUAGCAGAUGUCAGAGUUUGGGAUUUGGGGUCCAUGAUACCCAAAUAAGAUUCCACUUGAAGAAAGUAACACGAAUUGCUUUCAACACAUCAAUCAACAAAGAGCAUUGAUGGAUGAAGAGGACAUUGAUAAAUGGGAUGUCUUUUUGCUGAAACUCUAACUUACAGUAAAGGGGGGAAACUCACAGAAGCCCAGUGGAAGCUUCUGGAGCCAGGAGCUACACUGACUCUCUCCGCAGAGGGUGUGGAGGGGUAGGCGGCAGUCAGCCCCCAGCCCAGAGUGGAGGGCACCUGGGCACAUGUGUGAUCAGAGCCCACAUGGAGGGAGGCCAGGGUCCAGCUUCCCUUCACUCUGGGAACAUGGGAGGCCCUGUCCCCAGGCCAUGGCACACAGAGGGAGGAGCAGGAGCUCUGGCAGCCUCAGAGGUGUGUGCCAGGCCGCAGCCUAUUGGAAAUUCCUCAGGAGUGCAUGGCCUGGGGUCCCCCAGCCUGCGGGAGGCAGAGGGGGCGAGGCCAGGUCCCCCGGCCUGUGGGAGGCAGAGGGGGCGAGGCCACGUCCACCAGUCCGAAGCCUGUCCUGCCCAGCUUGCUGUGUGACUCUGGCCUCGGGGGGAACAUUAUCUGAAAUGUACAUAGUGGAAUCCAGGCAGUGUUCACCCCUUCCCUCUGUGCCCUCCGUGGUCUUCUGUGACCUGGGAUUUGUUGGUCAUUGGCAGAAACAGAAGAUGCAUUAUUAUUACUGUAAAAGGUAAAGUUGUCCCCUAACUGGCUCAACUGUCCGAAGACCCCCCUGCUUUUUCUGCUUUUCCUUGUGACUCAGCCUGGUCUUUCUUCUUCCAGGGUGGCAUCCCACUGACUCCUACGCAGCCCCACCCUGGUUCCCUCACUCCCAGGUUCCUGGUCCCUCAGGGUCCUAGGGCUGAGUCCUCCAUAGCCCCCACACACAGCCCAGAGCUGGGACUGACCCACGGCAUAGGACAAACUCCUCCAGGCCUCUGAGAGAACUCCUGGGCUUUCAUCUACAUGAUUCAGAAAGAAUCUUUUUUCUCUUUCAAAUGUUAAUGUUUUUAAUUUCCUUUUUUUUUUCAUUUUUCAUUAUAACUGCUAAGAUUUUUCUAAUUGGCAUGCCAACUGCUUGCAGACUUGACCUGUUUCUUGCAAAAAAAGAAAAUCGCUUAAUCAUUAAAUACAAUUAUUACUUCAUUCUUCUAUCUCUUCAGUCUACCAAACUAUUAUAUACUCUUGAUGAUUGUCAUUUUCGUCAAAAGAAAACUGUAUCCAGAAUCCCAUAACACUUACAAAUUAAGUGUCUUAAUUUUUCAAGUUCUUUUGGGGCUUGCCAUAUGAGUGUAUUAUUCUUGCAUAUUGCACAUUCAUUUUCUAUUAUUUUUAAUACAUAAUUCUACAAAAUAAGCAUUCUUCAUGAUAUAUAUUUGUUUGAGAAUUUCUUAAUAAAAGAUGGGAGUAUUUGUUACUUAAAAUUCUAUCACUUAAAAGCAAUUGCAAGGGUUUCCUAUGAAGACAGGAUAGAGAAUCCACCUUGUAAUAACCUCCUUUGCUCCAUACUCAUGAUGCCUCGUUCAGAAAAAAACCCAAAGAAUAGCUGGUCUCCUUAGUCCAGAGUCGGGUGCAGGUGGGCGGGGUUGAAUCCUGCCCAAUGCUGGUGACCGGAAACAUCAGAAUGGAGGGUAGAGGCAGGCUCCCUGCCUACAGUGGAGAGGUGAGGUGACCUCAUGAUAUCAGAGUGGAAACUCGCUCUAAAGUCCAGGAGCGGCUGGGUGCGGUGUCUCACGCCUGUAAUCCCAGCAUUUUGAGAGGCCGAGGCAGGUGGAUGGCCUGAGGUCAGCAGUUCGAGACAAGCUUGGCCAACAUGGUGAAACCCCAUCUCUACUAAAAAUAUACAAAAAGUUAGCUGGAUGUGGUGGCAGGCGCCUAUAGUCCCAGCUACUUUGGAGGCUGAGGCAGGUGAAUCGCUUGGACCUGGAAGGCGGAG
rnacentral:lncRNA from 1 species